AGGGGCGGCUAUACAUGCAAGUCGAACGCUUCUUUUUCCACCGGAGCUUGCUCCACCGGAAAAAGAGGAGUGGCGAACGGGUGAGUAACACGUGGGUAACCUGCCCAUCAGAAGGGGAUAACACUUGGAAACAGGUGCUAAUACCGUAUAACAAUCGAAACCGCAUGGUUUUGAUUUGAAAGGCGCUUUCGGGUGUCGCUGAUGGAUGGACCCGCGGUGCAUUAGCUAGUUGGUGAGGUAACGGCUCACCAAGGCCACGAUGCAUAGCCGACCUGAGAGGGUGAUCGGCCACAUUGGGACUGAGACACGGCCCAAACUCCUACGGGAGGCAGCAGUAGGGAAUCUUCGGCAAUGGACGAAAGUCUGACCGAGCAACGCCGCGUGAGUGAAGAAGGUUUUCGGAUCGUAAAACUCUGUUGUUAGAGAAGAACAAGGAUGAGAGUAACUGUUCAUCCCUUGACGGUAUCUAACCAGAAAGCCACGGCUAACUACGUGCCAGCAGCCGCGGUAAUACGUAGGUGGCAAGCGUUGUCCGGAUUUAUUGGGCGUAAAGCGAGCGCAGGCGGUUUCUUAAGUCUGAUGUGAAAGCCCCCGGCUCAACCGGGGAGGGUCAUUGGAAACUGGGAGACUUGAGUGCAGAAGAGGAGAGUGGAAUUCCAUGUGUAGCGGUGAAAUGCGUAGAUAUAUGGAGGAACACCAGUGGCGAAGGCGGCUCUCUGGUCUGUAACUGACGCUGAGGCUCGAAAGCGUGGGGAGCAAACAGGAUUAGAUACGCUGGUAGUCCACGCCGUAAACGAUGAGUGCUAAGUGUUGGAGGGUUUCCGCCCUUCAGUGCUGCAGCUAACGCAUUAAGCACUCCGCCUGGGGAGUACGACCGCAAGGUUGAAACUCAAAGGAAUUGACGGGGGCCCGCACAAGCGGUGGAGCAUGUGGUUUAAUUCGAAGCAACGCGAAGAACCUUACCAGGUCUUGACAUCCUUUGACCACUCUAGAGAUAGAGCUUCCCCUUCGGGGGCAAAGUGACAGGUGGUGCAUGGUUGUCGUCAGCUCGUGUCCUGAGAUGUUGGGUUAAGUCCCGCAACGAGCGCAACCCUUAUUGUUAGUUGCCAUCAUUCAGUUGGGCACUCUAGCAAGACUGCCGGUGACAAACCGGAGGAAGGUGGGGAUUAACGUCAAAUCAUCAUGCCCCUUUUA
rnacentral:rRNA from 1 species